AAUUGCAAUCGAUGUGUACAACUGUUGCUGUUUUGUAAUUCCAGCCACACCGUUUAACUGAAAUGAGUUAAAUAAGGAUAAAUACCUUGGAGGUUUCCAGCAGCGGGCAGGGAAAAAAAAAAGCUGCCAGUGAUGUCCAAAUCUUAGACACAGACUGAACCUUGCAUCCAUCAUGGAGAAGAAGCCAGGCAUGAUGCAGCAUCUCCGGCAGAAGAUGUUGCCACACUUCAAGCGGGGCAAAGAACCCUUAAACAAGUUGGCUGUCCAGCUUGAUCACAAUCGGAUGAGCUCCUCCGUUCCUGACGUAAGGAACGUGAAGCAGGAUUACCCCCACGUCUCCUCCAGAGUGCCUUUUCAGCAGUACAACAGUCCCAGUUAUAGCGAUCCUUCCACACCGCUUGUCAGGCCUCCUACAGGUCCUGUAGGAGGUGGGAGGAGUGUAAACCUUAGAGCAGGUAGUGGAAGACUAGGGAGGAGUGAAAACAGACUGAGCGUGCCUACAAACUGCAAAAACCGUUCUUCUUCCCAGGAAUCAUUCAACAGUCUUUGUGGAGAAGAGACAUCUUCCCGGGAGACAUACCAACCUGGACGAGGCAUGGAGCCCGAGGAACUUGCACUACCAGAGAUGAUGACUGUUUACACUCCAGACAGUGCGGCUGUGGAUGAUUCCCUGGACAGCUCGCAGUAUGAUAACGAUUACAGCGGUCACAUAAAGGAAGGGGACCACCAAAAUUAUGAGAUGGACAAUGAGGCUGUGAACAUGUCUGAGAGUGCCAGAGAUUCCCAGAGGUCCUACCUGCUCACCGUUAACUUAAAGGAAGGACACAACUUGGUCAUCAGGGACCGCUGUGGUACCAGCGACCCCUACGUCAAAUUCAAAUUGGAUGGAAAAACAUUCUACAAAAGUAAAGUGGUUUAUAAAAACCUCAACCCUGUAUGGAAUGAGUCCUUCACUUUGCCCAUUAAGGAUCUGAAUCAGAAGCUUUACAUCAAGGUGUAUGACCGUGACCUUACAACUGAUGACUUUAUGGGCGCUGCAAGUGUCCUUCUGAGUGAUCUGGAGAUGGACAAGGUCAAUGAGAUGUCUUUGCGCCUGGAUGAUCCAAACAGCCUGGAGGAGGACAUGGGCGUCGUAUUGGUGGACUUGAGUCUGUCACUCAGAAAUGGAGACAGCAAAAGAAGCAAUAAAUGGCACCAAAAACGAACACGAAGUAGUAGGGCUGGAAAGAAUUCUCAGCCUAUUAGUUUGUCAGAAGAGCUGAAGAAGAGUCAGCUGUGGACAUCUGUUUUGUUGGUGACUCUGGUUGAGGGUAAGAAGCUGCCGGUGGACAGUCAGGCAGGUCAGUUCUCCGUUCUCUUCAAACUGGGAGAGCAGCGAUACAAAAGCAAGGAUCACUGCAAAGUGCCAAAUCCUCAGUGGAGAGAAAGGUUCACCUUCAAACAGUUUUUCAACAGUCCGGAAUAUCUGGAGGUGGAGCUCCGAUCCAAGGAAGGACGAAAGGCUGCGGAAUCCCUGGGGAAGCGUUGCGUGAACCUGUCAAAAAUUCCUUUCGAUCAAAGGCAAUUGAUAGAAAUGGAAUAUGGGGGAGGACACGUGUAUUGCCUCCUUACGCUGACCACGUGCAGUGGCGUCUCCAUCUCCGACCUCUGUGCCGCACCACUCAGUGAACCCCGUGAACUUCAGAACCAGCUGGACAACUAUAGUUUAAAAAGGUCCCUCACAAAUCUUCGUGACGUUGGGUUCCUUCAAGUCAAAGUUAUUAAGGCUACUGAUCUGAUGGCUGCUGAUUUAAAUGGCAAGAGUGACCCUUUCUGUGUGCUGGAACUGGGGAACGACAGACUACAAACCCACACGGUCUACAAAAGCCUAAACCCAGAAUGGAAUACAGUCUUUACAUUCCCUGUCAAAGACAUUCAUGAUGUUCUGGUGGUGACUAUCUUUGAUGAGGAUGGAGACAAGGCGCCAGACUUCCUUGGAAAAGUUGCCAUUCCUUUGCUUUUGAUCCGCAGGGGACAACAGAUUGCCUUCCCGCUGAAGAAAGAGGACUUAGGCGAGCUGUCGAAGGGGAGCAUCACUCUGGAGCUGGAGGUUAUUUUUAACCCUGUCAGAGCAAGUAUUAGAACCUUCCAGCCAAAGGAGAGGUAUUUUAUGGAGGACAAUCCCAAGUUCUCCAAAAAGGCUCUGGCCAGGAACGUGAUGCGUGUUCAGACAUUGUACAGGGCAAUCAUGUCGACUCUGCAGUACAUCAAAAGCUGCUUCCAGUGGGAGAGUUUUCAGAGGAGCCUGCUAGCCUUCCUGGUGUUUUUGGUGACAGUAUGGUACUGGGAGUUUUAUAUGCUUCCCCUCUCCUUUGUUCUGCUCAUCUCGUGGAACUACCUACAGAUCCAAUCUGGACGGGUCAGCCAGGAUGUGACCAACAUGGAUUUGGCGGAUGAGGAUGAAGACGAUGAGAAGGAGUCCGAGAGGAAAGGGCUCAUAGAGAAAAUCCACAUGGUCCAAGACAUCAUCCUCACCGUUCAAAACCUUCUCGACGGGAUCGCUUGUUUAGGGGAGAGGAUUAAAAACACGUUCAACUGGACCAUGCCGUUCCUGUCAGCCUUGGCUUUGUUGGUGUUCAUCACUGCAGCAAUUAUCACAUACUUCAUCCCUAUACGCUACAUAGUUUUAAUAUGGGGUAUCAAUAAAUUCACCAAGAAAUUACGGAACCCGUACAGCAUUGACAACAAUGAAGUGCUUGAUUUCCUGUCGAGGGUGCCUUCAGAUGUGCAGAAGGUAAGCUCCGCUGGAUCAGCCGGCCAGGAAGCCCAAAAUCCCAGAGCCAGCUAGCUUUGCAUCUUACUACAACAACUCCCAGGCAUUCUUUACUCUUGUCUGUAUAAUUAGCUCCAUCUGUAUAAUUAUGUAGCCCUGUAUAAUUUUGGUUGUGUUUUGGUCCCGAUACAUCCCUGGUGGAGGUCUGCUGCUUAGCAGCUUUGUAACGCAGGCUGUUCCCAGGCUGAGACGGGAGACGCUGCUGCUGCUGCUGGUGUCUCCUGUUCGUACUUACCAACACUUCAGCUUCAAAAGCUGUCGUGAGUGUUAUGGGGUCCUACUGAAUCUUACAUUCAGUAAGAUUCAAAAUGGUUACCUUGCACCUAUAAGCUAUAUAAACAUUGUUUUUAAAGUGAGUACUAUUCACAAGUUUCUUUUUCAUUCCUCCUCUUGCACAUGAUCUCCGUGCUGACCUCUCCUCUCUUUCUUCCCACUCUCCUUUCUGUCUUCUCUCUUUUUACCCGCCGUCGUCUCUGCUCCUCACAGUCUCUGUCUCUCUAAGCUGUUUGACCCCGUUUGUCUCUUCUCCUUCUACAAUGCCCUUGGGCCACUGGGUUGAGUAACGGUGACUCUCCAGUAUCUCUGUUUUGUUGUUAUUGUGUAUGAAUGAUGACUAUGGGUCUCCCUCUCAGUGCUGGUAGUGAUAGAACUUUCUUCUUCUCAUUUGCAAAAAAAAUAUUACAAGUGAAAAAAACACAUUUUAAUUUUACUUAAUGAUGAAAGUAUCCUAAACUUUUAAACUAAUCUUUUUUUCUUUUUUUGACCACUGUGUACAAGAUAAUAUACCGUUCCAUUAUCAGAAUAUCAAAGUACGCACCCUGUAAUCUACCUUGAGAACUGGCUGCUUUUCACUUCAUAAAUGGGAAGAAUUUAAACUGCUCGCUUCUGUUGAGUGAUGUCUGUUGUUGUCUCAGGUACUUUUGUUUGAUAUUUUAAAUUUAUAAAAUGUGAUGAUUUCCAGGUUCAGUACAGUGAGCUGAGAGGGAGCAGGAAGAAGAAAGUCUUGUAGAAUGCACUGUGGAUGGAAGACUGUAUGAAUACUGGACCCGAUGCUGCUGUGUGGGAUUCCCACCUAAAAACACUUUCAGGAGGAUGGAGGAACUGCCUGAGCGCUGCGGUCUCUCACUUGGAGUUGGUUUCAGGAUUGUGGGCGUCUAACAGCACCGUUUCAGAGCCCCCUCUCUUCAUUAGGCUUUCAUGAAGCAAGGCAAAGCCGUGCGAGACCUCACCGGCGCCCGGGCUCCCCGCUGCGUUGAUGGCCCUUGGGCGUCGCCACAAGCAGGAGGACCUGCCUGACCUCCUCUCAGCUGCUGUGACGAGAUGCCUGCAGCCAGCAUCCUAUCAAGCACAGCAGCCAGACAAUCCUCCGGUACCGGGCUGCACACGGCUCAGGAGGUGGAUUUUAAAACCAGCCACAAGCAACAACAGCCUCACUAAUUUAAGGAUUGGAGAAUUGGAAUAGUUAAGAUGUUGCUGUUCAGAGUAAUACCCUGGGUUUUAUGGCUUUUAAGUCAGAGCGCGUGGGCUCUCAGUUAGCUGCCUCUUAAAUGAGAAAUGAGGAAAAUUAGAGGAAACCUGGUCUCAAGUAAUACAAGAACAAUAUUUUUGUAUACAUUUUUUUACAAAUCUAUUUGAGGAUUGACCUCAUUAGAUGCUUAAGAUAUCGCAUUUGAGUAUAAUUGAGUCUUGUUAACAUUGUAUUGUUUCAUUAAUAACACUUCCUGUUGACAAAUAGCUGCUCAGUGCGAUAUGCAUAUAAUACCCUGGACGGUGCUACACAAUAUAUGCAAUAAUUUGAUGAUUUGUCCAACUGUCUGAGGACAGAAGGUGUGGAGACUGUGGCAGGUGAUGACCUGUAUAUCUCUUCAUCUAGUUAUAAUGUUGACUUGAGUAUUCAAUAUUAAUAACCUGCUGUCAAGGACACUGGAAGGACAUUUCAAUUUGACACUUAUAGGCUCAGCAUGAAUAUGUAUAGGCAGCAAAAGGCUUCAGAAUUACCAAGUAAAAUCAUGGUUCACACGUGGAGACUAAUGUGAUGUGGCACCUGCAUUAUGAUGAACCACAUAUACUGUGGCCAGUAGGUCUCGAAAGGCUUGUCAUAACUCAAUAUCGGACCAGAGAACAUUCAGCUGUGCCUGUGUUUGGAUGUGUGCAGAGAGGCGCGCUGCACGUGAAGCUGUGGAUGCACAAUAUUAUCCUUAACAGUUUUUAUUAAGUUAUUAAUAACUCCAGUAUGAACUCUGUGUGCAUGUGUGUGUGUAGGUGGGAAAACGAUCUAAUGGGCAACAGCACUUAAAUGAUUCCCAUCACUGCACAAGACUUUUUGCUUAGCAGGAAGCUGUUUGCACCUUCACUCACAGCAAGCUCGACUGCUUGGCUUGUGUCUCAAUUCCUAUGUCAAGUCAUAUGACGUUUUAUUUUAACCUCUGGCUGCCUGUCAAAACUUUAGUAAUAUGUAUGACUAUGUUUGUUUUUUGUUUUUUUAAGUAUGUUGAACGUGUUUACCUCUGCGCAGAGAUCUUAUUGGUUCCAAUUAAAACACAGCUCAGAUCAAUGCAUGUAGUCAGCUACUUGUAAAAUAGUGUGAUCACAUCUGUUAAUUUUUUUCAGCUGUGUCUUCCUGUUUCCAAAUAUUACCACUCAUCACAAGAGAUGUAUAAUUAUCACAAAAUUGUUCUGAUGAUGAGAAUAAUUAUCAUUACCAUCAUUGCUGUUGACCUCUUGCCAGCAACUGUUAAUCAGCUAAUAUGUUUUGAUAAAGUAGGCUGGCUCGGAAUCAGAUCAGCACGUUGAAACUUAUCAAUUUCAGUUAGAUAACAGUCUCCAGACAGUGUGUCACAUUGUCAAAGAAAACAAAGCACCAUCUUGGGAUUUUGUAGUUUUAAGGGAUUUUUAGACACUUUGUUAACGUAAAAAUGUUUCUUUUUUUAAAGCCUGGUAUAUUUCCCAUUUAUUUGGCUAUUAUUAUUAUUAAUAUGGCUCUAAAUUGAUAGUUUGCACCUAUGCUCUAGAAAUGUCUCCUUACCACUUUCAUCAAAUAUGAAUAUGACAUUUGGUCAAAAAUUAUAAGUAAAGCACAAAAAGACCAGGGACUUGCAUUUAUCUAGUACACCAAAGAGCUCUGUCAGGGGAGCCUUGCCAACUGACCCACACACGCAUUCAUUCACACUCCGCCGCUACUCCAGAAUACGCCUGAUGUAGGUCUGCUAUAUUGCAUCACUAAAGUGCUUUAAUUCCAUUAAUUGGGGCCAUUUUUGGAAGUAGUGGCACUCUGCCUUCUAACAUACCUGAUAUAUUUAUCACACUACAUGCCUAAUGUGCCCAAGUUCAACUGAAUCAUGCCUCAUCCCACCUCCUUGAGAGGGCCAGGUCAUGGGAUACUUAACCAGACCCUGGCAAAGUACACUGUGAUCACAUUUGUCAAACAAACUGGUCUUUGUGAGGCUAAAAAAAAAAAAAAAUCCUUCUGGCAGUACCUUGAGUUGCAACUUGAGGCUGACUUCUAAAGCAAGUCUUCCAAACCUCGAGUUAGUUAUAGAGCUUUUCUACUGUGUUUGUUGAGAUGGUGGCUUUUGAAGCAUCUCUUGUAAAAUUUGUAAUGUAAUUAGGGGUACGUUUCGUAUCAUUUCAGUAUUUUAUUUUUUUCAAUAUACCGCCAGUAUUGUAAAAAUCUAUUAAUUUCCAAGUUUAAGCUCAAUUAUUUUAACUGUAAUAGACAAAAGUUGUAUCAUAGAAGACAUGAAUGAAAGGCUACACAAUGCUUUACAGUGUUACUCCAAGUAAAAUUGAAGUUUUCAUAUUCUCCUGAGAACCAAGGAAAAUAGAAUCUUCCCCUUGAACUUUUCUGUGACUUACUUCCUCUUUGGAGCUAAAAGAGGCCACCCGAACACAUGAGAUAUCAGUGGAAAGCCUAGGAUGUCCUCUAUUUAGUAGCUCAAAUAAGUUAAAAGAUAUUGACCAAAAACCAAUGUCUAUUACAGAGGACAGAAAUGAAUAGGCUAGUUCUCAGGAGGAUCUACACUCAUGGGACACUUUAUUAGCUACAACUUACCAAUACUGUGCUGGAACCAAUUUUACCUUCAGAACUGCCUUAAUUCUUUGUGGCACAGAUUCAACAAGGUGCUGGAAACAUUCCUGAGAUUUUGGUAUGAUAGCAUCACACAGUUGCAGAUUUGUCAGCUGUAUGUCAGUGAUGUGAAGCUUACUCUCGACCACACCCCAAAGUUGCUCCAUUGGACAGAGAUCUGAUGACUGUGGAGGACAUUUGGGUGCAAUGAAUUUAUUGGCAUGUUCAAGAAACCAGUUUGUGAAGAUCUUAGCUUUGUGACGUUAUAUCCUAUUUGUAACGAGUUAUCCUGCUGGAAGCUGUCAUCAGAAAAUGGGUACACUGUGGUCAUAAAGGAGUGGGCAUGGUCAGCAACACUACUUGAACUUCAGCAGAUCAUCUUGACCAUGUCUACACUGCAUUGCUGCCAUAUAUUUGGGUGACUGAAUACUUGCAUUAAACAGUUAAAUAUGAUUAUGAAUGGCACCAGAAAAAAUGGGUUCUGUUCUAGUGUUUGAACUGUACACAGUUCAAACACUAGAUUUUUGGAAAAUCUAGUUCAGAUAGCAGUUUAGACACAGCUAUCUGUAGCACUGUUGAAGCAAACCCAAUACUUGAAGACUUAAAGGAGCUUUAAGGUGAAUUACUGUAGACUCUGUUAGAAGAAAUCUAACAUUUUAAAGCACAUUCUGCCCACAAGGUCUGAAUCAAAAAUUCAGAAUGUCAGGCACACUGGCAACAAAUCUGAAAUGUCACGGAGAGAUGAAGCAUCUAGCAAGUCGGAAAUGUCUGUGAGUGGCUGAACACAACAAGAAAUAAUUACCAAAGGGUAAGACUACGAGCAAACAGCCAAAAUAAAAAAGUCAAUUUUUUUUCCUGCUGUAUGCUAUAUCGGUCAAAUAGUAAGACAUAUGUGCAUUGGUAUUGCAUUUAAAGUGAUUUGUCUGCAAUUUUUUUUUUUAAUUCAACAGAUUUGUUUUAAAUCAAUACUUAGUACACGUCCAAAGAACUGCUUUGCAACUCAGACAAUGGGGCCAUCUAAAGAAACAGAAUGGGGGUUUCUAGCAGAACUUCACCCACUUCCAAGGUGCAUGGAGAACAAGAGGUUGAAACUACAGCAGCACUUGCAGAAUAGGGAACAGCGUUAUUAUAAUAACCAGUAGGUUUCAGCCUUUUUAAGGCUAUUCUUUACGACAAGUGUUAGUCAAGCCUGAACCUCUUUGAACAUCCAAAAAAAAUGCACAAAAAGACAUGUGUUGUCAGUACUACAGCACUAGGAAGCAUUUCUAUAUAAAUGUCAUUUUAUAGAGACACCUUGGCAAGUUUUUCUUUUCUUUUUUUUUUCUUUUUUUUUUUUUUUUUUACUUCUCACAACUCUUUUCCUUUGUCAAUCAACAUUCAUUAGUUGUAUGUAUUAAUGAGCAUGAGUUUGACCAUGCGGACACACCACACUUCUUCUACCACCCCCUGUAGUUUCUACAAUCCCACAGGGAGUCUGGGUCCAGGUAAAUCACAGGCGCAGUGUGCACUAGCUGUGCUGCUGCCCACAGGCUGUGGCUCGACUGUGAUGUCCCGGAGCAGGCCAACAUCAAAGACCUUGAUCCAAAUGAGCCUGGGGCAAUGAACAGCUCAGAGCUCUGAUUGACAGAGGAGAUGCAAAAUAGUUUUUGUGAGAACGACACAGUGAUGUCAUGUUGGCCUUUUGUCUGUGUUUGUUGUUGUUUUGCAUCAGAUACUCACUAAAUAUACUACAGAUUUCCCCCCUAAAAUUCUGUUAAAAUCAGCACUGUCAGGUAAGAUACACAGUACGUAUUGACCCACAGAGAAAAGUUCUGUGCAAGACAGUAGACCUUGUUGUGGCCUCCAAAACAUUUGAAUUCAAUUGAAGCACUUAGAGGCAUUUUUGUCUUUGUUGCCAUAUUUAAAUCUGAAGUGUUUAUUUUUGUCUAUAGCUUUUGCUCCUUUUCAACUGGGAGGAUCCAUUGAUGUUCGGGAUGUGUGUGAUGCACCUAUUCCAUUGUGCAAUUAUUUAAAGUAAUUACAUCAAAACACAUUUGUAUUUGAAUUUUUUUUAGUCAUAAAAAUAAACUUUCAGAAAUGCUAAACUCUCAGUAAGACAUUAAGAUUUCUGUUGUUUUAUCUUAAAGAUUAAAGGUUGGGGAAAAUAUUUUUUGUCAUAAACAAAUCUCAAAUAAAAACCAAAAAAUGUCUUUCAGUAUUUGUGGACUUUCCUGGCCAUCAUUUAGAUGCCAGCACAAAAUGCAUUUGUUCCUUCUGAGGAUGUUAAAUUUUAAACCACUAAAUAAUUUCUUGAAAUAGCUGGACACUGGCAUUUUUAGUAGUCAGCACUCAAACUAUAUUGUGCUAUAUUGUUUAUUUAUUAAAGACAAUUUUUAGAUGUGGAUAAACACUCAUUUGGUCAUGUGAUGCAGCACUUAAGUACCAGUUUCUGACCUCCCCAAACAAGGACCCCAUUGGUUGUUAUUAAGAUCUUUAGUUAUGUUUCAAAGUUGGAAAACCUCUUGCGACCAUUUGAAUCAGUUCAUAUAAAAUGUUUUCUAGUAUUAUCUUUAAAGUGGCCAACACAACCUAAGAUCUAUGGCUCCCAGCAGCAAGUGACUAUAAAAGUACUGUCAAUGUUCCAUUUGAUUGUGGCUGAAGCAUGGCAUUUCAUCUAUUUAGCCAUUAAAUUUAACAGUUUAUCCAUUUCAGCAAUUUAUCCUUUCUUUUGAGGCAUUGCAAUUGUUUAGAAAUUACAUUUAGUAAGCUAUUACAACUCAUAUCUUUCCUUUUUUAACAGUUUUGCAAAGUCUGGAAUGACAAUCAGUCUUCGUAAUCAAAUCCUAAUUUCUGCUCAGUCACAUUCAUUUUUCUUAUCCUUAUUGUUGUAGAAGCCAUCUAGGACACGACACAGAUAUCCUAGAGUGAGGCAAGAUUAUGAGAAAGGUGGUGGAUCGGCCCAAAACUACACAGGACGAUCUGUGGAGUUUUGGGCUGUUGGGACCACAGUCACAAAGAACACCACUUGUAACACACUGCUGUAAUGAACUGAAGUCUUGCAAAACCGCGAGGUCCCCCAUGCUCAAGAAGUCAGAUGUAUACCCCAGUCUCCAGACUAUAGGAAAUCCAUGGAAAGAGUUGAUGCUUUAAGUUGCCAAGCAGUAGCCAAAAAAGGAGUUUCUGUAAACAUUUCAAAUCAAAUCAAUUUAUAACUUUUUUUUUAAAUUUCUGUUUGAUAUUCUG